rnacentral:rRNA from 1 species
GCCUUGUACACACCGCCCGUCACACCAUGGGAGUUGGCUUUACCCGAAGACGGUGCGCUAACCGCAAGGAGGCAGCCGGCCACGGUAAGGUCAGCGACUGGGGUGAAGUCGUAACAAGGUAGCCCUACUGGAAGGUGGGGCUGGAUCACCUCCUA